rnacentral:rRNA from 1 species
GACGAACGCUGGCGGCGUGCCUAAUACAUGCAAGUCGAACGCACUCUCGUUUAGAUUGAAGGAGUUUGCUCCUGAUUGAUAAACAUUUGAGUGAGUGGCUGACGGGUGAGUAACACGUGGGUAACCUGCCCUAAAGUGGGGGAUAACAUUUGGAAACAGAUGCUAAUACCGCAUAAAACCUAACACCGCAUGGUGUAGGGUUGAAAGAUGGUUUCGGCUAUCACUUUAGGAUGGACCCGCGGUGCAUUAGUUAGUUGGUGAGGUAAAGGCUCACCAAGACCGCGAUGCAUAGCCGACCUGAGAGGGUAAUCGGCCACACUGGGACUGAGACACGGCCCAGACUCCUACGGGAGGCAGCAGUAGGGAAUCUUCCACAAUGGACGAAAGUCUGAUGGAGCAACGCCGCGUGAGUGAAGAAGGUUUUCGGAUCGUAAAACUCUGUUGUUGGAGAAGAACGUAUGUGAUAGUAACUGAUCAGGUAGUGACGGUAUCCAACCAGAAAGCCACGGCUAACUACGUG